GGUUGUAUUAAAUCUUCCCUUUGUGUUGCAGUUUUUGUAAGCAACCAUUUGUAAUCGCUUUUAGCAGAAUAUACCCUUGUAUUAUCCCCUCUCCAAAUCCUGAUAUCCUUGAUGUCAACUCCAGCAAUUGGGAUAGUUUGGAUUCAAUUUGCUUGCUCCUCAUCAAAGAUUUUUCUUUAGGACAUCUAUUCUACAGGUACAUUGAUCAAAAUUAAUUAAAUCUGCUACCACUGUAUAAUUGAUAUUGAUGUUCUGACCCACUAUUUUCCUUGUCCAGGUCUCGGAAGCCAAGCUUCAUUCCAAAUGUUAAUUGUUUUUCCAUUCCUCACUCUUCACCCUAAUCCUACUUCCAACAGCCCUCGCGCACACCAUAUGCUUC
rnacentral:lncRNA from 1 species